UCCUCCGUUCAGAAUCCCUGGCCGUCUCCCAUUCCCCAUCCGUCUCUCUCCCCAACGACAAAUAACCCCAUGAGGCGAUGGAUGCAACAGAACGCAGCUUCAUCUAGGGUUUGCGAGCACCAUCGGAGGUAGCACCGGCGGCUACGGCGGGCGAUGGCGCGGCAAGAUUGCAAGGCAAUCGAUCUAGAGGAUGGGUGGAGCCAUACUUCAGCCACAUCAACAUCCUUGAGGGCAAGCUGGAGCCACAGUUCAGCUCCGAGGAUUCAUGAUUCUCUACAGGUAUCUGUCCCCCCGUGUCCCUCCAGUCAUGCCUAGGUUGGCCCCGAUUGGAUCUGAUCUAAGGUUUACAGACCCCCUCCCUAUUUGUCUCUUUUUGCGGCGCAACAUGAUAUACAAACGGCACCACAACCCCUUCAUUUUCUGCCUAAACUUGCCAAGAAGCCAAAGGAGAGGCCACCGUUCGAUUCUAUCUUUUGGGUAACCCACUUCUGUUUACAUUUUCCCUAUUUGAUUACCAAUCAGGAAAGCCUCCGCUGCUGUUAUGCUCUAUGUACGAGGAUGAUCUAUAUGCUAUGAUCUAUGUUUCAAUUAGUUUUUUCGCAAGGCCUUAAAACAUCGAAGUUUCCCAUCUGGAGGGUGCAUUGAAUGGCAACAAUCUGAAUGACUCCCUGCCCACGAAACAGCGUGGUUGCCAAGCAUGACAUGACUGAAUGCCAGAUGGUCAUUGUGUACAAUCAGCAAAUACUCUAUGUUCGAUACGUUGAUUAUUGGAACGUCUAGGAACUGCUCAAUACGACAGUAUGUACUGAUCUUUUGUAGGAUAAACAUCGUCAAUGUUUUAAGCCGUGACAAUGUCCAAUAACAUGUUGGACCAACUACAGUCUUAAGCCAUGUAAUAGUUGCGGGACAUUUGUGCCACGGGGGUUGACGUGAAGCUCAGGCACUUGGACUCUAGGCUGCUUGCAGCCUCUAGGCAACCUAAUCUCCUAUGGG